GACAGAGGCCCCAAGCGUUAGGCGGAAUCACUGGGCUUAAAGCGUGUGUAGGCGGAUCGUUAAGUGUCUUGUGAAAUCCCACGGCUCACCCGUGGAACUGCUGGGCAUACUGGCGAUCUUGGGCCAACUAGGGGCAGUCGGAACAAGCGGUGGAGCGGUGAAAUGCGUAGAUAUCCGGAGGAACACCAGCGGCGAAGGCGGCGCUCUGGGCCGGAACUGACGCUGAGGAGCGAAAGCGUGGGUAGCAAACAGG
rnacentral:rRNA from 1 species